UAGAACAGUGCUGCUUACAGUGGCCACCAAUUAGCAAGCAAGCAAGACCGUCUUAAGACUCUCUUCCUAGGCUGUGCUAAGUUGACAGUUACACCUGGAGCAGCAUGUAGGGAGAUGAGGAGGCACAGUGACUCAGGGCAAGUCCAUUCUUACCCAGAGGAAAGCUCAGGCCAGGCCAUUUUGUGAGAGAGCUGAUCAAGUCUUACCAAGGUGUGACCACAGCAUGCUCCAAGGACUAGAAGGGUCAUAAGACCUGCAUGCUAGACCUGACCCUACGCUUACUGGUCUAUCUGAGCUGGGACAGCCACAUACUACCCCCUCCAACUGGAUCUCCAUCUCUCCAUCGCUGAAAUGAACAUACUGGGCCUUGAUUCUGAGGAGACUUGAUCCCAACAGAACCACGUACCCCUCAGUUCUCUGUCGCCCGUCAAGUGCCAAUGACUCAGAAGCAAGGCUGUCGUUCACGACACAUCUGAGAAGCGCCAUCCUGCGGCUGGUCCCUGUGCUCCCUUUUGUAAUGAUCUGUAUCCCAGAGCCUGGAUAAGUCCUUCCUCUCUGAGGUCUCCUGUCACAGCAAAGAGAAAAGAAGCUAGGACAACCAACCUCCAGUGCCCACUACCACCUACAGCCUU